rnacentral:rRNA from 1 species
GGGUGAGUAAUGCAUCGGAACGUAUCCUGGAGUGGGGGAUAACCCAGCGAAAGUUGGGCUAAUACCGCAUGAGCUCUGAGGAGGAAAGCGGGGGACUCGCAAGGGCCUCGCGCUGCAGGAGCGGCCGAUGUCCGAUUAGCUAGUUGGUGGGGUAAAGGCCUACCAAGGCGACGAUCGGUAGCUGGUCUGAGAGGAUGAUCAGCCACACUGGGACUGAGACACGGCCCAGACUCCUACGGGAGGCAGCAGUGGGGAAUUUUGGACAAUGGGGGCAACCCUGAUCCAGCCAUGCCGCGUGAGUGAAGAAGGCCUUCGGGUUGUAAAGCUCUUUCGGACGGAACGAAAUGGUUACGGUCAACACCCGUGACUGAUGACGGUACCGUAAGAAGAAGCACCGGCUAACUACGUGCCAGCAGCCGCGGUAAUACGUAGGGUGCGAGCGUUAAUCGGAAUUACUGGGCGUAAAGCGUGCGCAGGCGGUUUCGUAAGCUGGAGGUGAAAUCCCCGGGCUCAACCUGGGAAUGGCCUUCAGGACUGCGAGGCUAGAGUGCGGCAGAGGGAGGUGGAAUUCCACGUGUAGCAGUGAAAUGCGUAGAUAUGUGGAGGAACACCGAUGGCGAAGGCAGCCUCCUGGGCCAGCACUGACGCUCAUGCACGAAAGCGUGGGGAGCAAACGGGAUUAGAUACCCUGGUAGUCCACGCCCUAAACGAUGUCAACUAGGUGUUGGGGAAGGUGACUUCCUUAGUACCGCAGCUAACGCGUGAAGUUGACCGCCUGGGGAGUACGGCCGCAAGGUUAAAACUCAAAGGAAUUGACGGGACCCGCACAAGCGGUGGAUGAUGUGGAUUAAUUCGAUGCAACGCGAAAAACCUUACCUACCCUUGACAUGCCAGGAACUCUGCUGAGAGGUGGAGGUGCCCGAAAGGGAGCCUGGACACAGGUGCUGCAUGGCUGUCGUCAGCUCGUGUCGUGAGAUGUUGGGUUAAGUCCCGCGACGAGCGCAACCCUUGUCGUUAAUUGCCAUCAUUUAGUUGGGCACUUUAGCGAGACUGCCGGUGACAAACCGGAGGAAGGUGGGGAUGACGUCAAGUCCUCAUGGCCCUUAUGGGUAGGGCUUCACACGUCAUACAAUGGCGCAUACAGAGGGUUGCGAAGCCGCGAGGUGAAGCCAAUCCCAGAAAGUGCGUCGUAGUCCGGAUUGCAGUCUGUAACUCGACUGCAUGAAGUCGGAAUCGCUAGUAAUCGCGGAUCAGCAUGUCGCGGUGAAUACGUUCCCGGGUCUUGUACACACCGCCCGUCACACCAUGGGAGUGGGUUCCACCAGAAGCAGGUAGCCUAACCGCAAGGGGGGCGCCUACCACGGUGAGAUUCAUGACUGGGGUGAAGUCGAAACAAGGUA